GACGAACGCUGGCGGCGCGCCUAACACAUGCAAGUCGAACGAGCGAGAGAGAGCUUGCUUUCUCGAGCGAGUGGCGAACGGGUGAGUAACGCGUGAGGAACCUGCCUCAAAGAGGGGGACAACAGUUGGAAACGACUGCUAAUACCGCAUAAGCCCACGGCUCGGCAUCGAGCAGAGGGAAAAGGAGUAAUCCGCUUUGAGAUGGCCUCGCGUCCGAUUAGCUAGUUGGUGAGGUAACGGCCCACCAAGGCAACGAUCGGUAGCCGGACUGAGAGGUUGAACGGCCACAUUGGGACUGAGACACGGCCCAGACUCCUACGGGAGGCAGCAGUGGGGAAUAUUGCACAAUGGGGGAAACCCUGAUGCAGCGACGCCGCGUGGAGGAAGAAGGUCUUCGGAUUGUAAACUCCUGUUGUUGGGGAAGAUAAUGACGGUACCCAACAAGGAAGUGACGGCUAACUACGUGCCAGCAGCCGCGGUAAAACGUAGGUCACAAGCGUUGUCCGGAAUUACUGGGUGUAAAGGGAGCGCAGGCGGGAAGACAAGUUGGAAGUGAAAUCUAUGGGCUCAACCCAUAAACUGCUUUCAAAACUGUUUUUCUUGAGUAGUGCAGAGGUAGGCGGAAUUCCCGGUGUAGCGGUGGAAUGCGUAGAUAUCGGGAGGAACACCAGUGGCGAAGGCGGCCUACUGGGCACCAACUGACGCUGAGGCUCGAAAGUGUGGGUAGCAAACAGGAUUAGAUACCCUGGUAGUCCACACCGUAAACGAUGAUUACUAGGUGUUGGAGGAUUGACCCCUUCAGUGCCGCAGUUAACACAAUAAGUAAUCCACCUGGGGAGUACGACCGCAAGGUUGAAACUCAAAGGAAUUGACGGGGGCCCGCACAAGCAGUGGAGUAUGUGGUUUAAUUCGACGCAACGCGAAGAACCUUACCAAGUCUUGACAUCCCUUGACAGGCAUAGAAAUAUGUUUUCUCUUCGGAGCAAGGAGACAGGUGGUGCAUGGUUGUCGUCAGCUCGUGUCGUGAGAUGUUGGGUUAAGUCCCGCAGCGAGCGCAACCCUUAUGGUCAGUUACUACGCAAGAGGACUCUGGCCAGACUGCCGUUGACAAAACGGAGGAAGGUGGGGAUGACGUCAAAUCAUCAUGCCCUUUAUGACUUGGGCUACACACGUACUACAAUGGCGUUAAACAAAGAGAAGCAAGACCGCGAGGUGGAGCAAAACUCAGAAACAACGUCCCAGUUCGGACUGCAGGCUGCAACUCGCCUGCACGAAGUCGGAAUUGCUAGUAAUCGUGGAUCAGCAUGCCACGGUGAAUACGUUCCCGGGCCU
rnacentral:rRNA from 1 species